UCGCCUUUUGAAACAACAAAAAAUGGUCAGGGCAGAGAACCAAGGAAAAAAGAAGAAGUCUGUAUUUGGCACCAAAACCCCGUUUGUUUGUCUUGUAUCAACUUGGAACUGAAUAAAAAUAGCCGAAUAGUAGCACAAGACUGAUUAAGAAAGACACGUGGAAUAGUAGCAGCAUAAGACCGAAUAAGAAUAGCCGACUGACCAGUAGCAGUGUAGCACAAGACUGAGUAUACGACAUAAUGUGAUUCGGCCAUAAUCUCCUGAUAAAUUAUCUAAAUGCUCUUUUAUAAGAAAGAAGAAGCUUUAGCAUACAUAACAGUCUACCUGUUUCAGGGAUUCUCCCGAU
rnacentral:lncRNA from 1 species